UAAUUUAGCUCUGUUUUCACUUACUCCAGGCUGAUGCAUUCAUUCUCCAGCAAAAGCCAUCCCAUGAGUGCUGUGGCAAGUGUCCAUGCUAAUUGGAAAAAACUACUUUGUGGACUUUGCUGAGUUAGAUGACCUUCUGAUAUGUGCUGAAAGGAUUUCUUGUGCAUCCAAGAGGAUAGUUUCAGAAGCCCUGCAUACUGAAGCAGCUUUCACAGAUAAAGACUCUAAAGAAGUUCUGGCUAAACCAGAAAACCAGCUACAAGUUUGUCUUGACAGAUAA
rnacentral:lncRNA from 1 species